CAGUCGUACUUGCGGAUAAUCAACCUUUAGAUGCGAUUUUGUGGGGCGUCAAGAGUUAAACGCCAUCAUGCCUGCAGAUUCGUAUACUUUGGGUGUACUUAUUCGUGUGGUAAGUUAACAUCAAUUUUGGUGGUCAUAAAAUGGCUGGAGGAACGUAGCUUCGAUCUUGUAUUGAAGUGUUAUAGCCUUCGGUAGAUGUGAUGAUCGGGAUUGAGGAUUGCAACGGGAUACCCUUCGGGGCUACCUGUCUGGUCUCUGAUCGUUGCUCUGGUGCCGAAAGCUUGCUUACGGUUAUCAAAGUCGAUGGUCAAUAGGUUAGAACGGGUU
rnacentral:rRNA from 1 species